rnacentral:rRNA from 1 species
AAACUUGCCUCACAGAUAGGGACAACAUUUGGAAACGAAUGCUAAUACCUGAUAUUAUGAUUAUAUGGCAUCGUAUAAUUAUGAAAGCUAUAUGCGCUGCGAGAGAGCUUUGCGUCCCAUUAGCUAGUUGGAGAGGUAACGGCUCACCAAGGCGAUGAUGGGUAGCCGGCCUGAGAGGGUGAUCGGCCACAAGGGGACUGAGACACGACCCUU